UACGUAGGGCGCAAGCGUUAUCCGGAAUUAUUGGGCGUAAAGAGCUCGUAGGCGGUUUGUCGCGUCUGCCGUGAAAGUCCGGGGCUCAACUCCGGAUCUGCGGUGGGUACGGGCAGACUAGAGUGAUGUAGGGGAGACUGGAAUUCCUGGUGUAGCGGUGAAAUGCGCAGAUAUCAGGAGGAACACCGAUGGCGAAGGCAGGUCUCUGGGCAUUAACUGACGCUGAGACGCGAAAGCUAGGGGAGCAAACAGG
rnacentral:rRNA from 1 species